rnacentral:rRNA from 1 species
UACGUAGGUGGCGAGCGUUGUCCGGAUUUACUGGGCGUAAAGAGCGCGCAGGCGGUCGUACAAGUCGCGUGUGAAAGCCCCCGGCUCAACUGGGGAGGGUCACGCGAUACUGUUCGACUCGAAGGCAGGAGAGGGAAGUGGAAUUCCCGGUGUAGCGGUGAAAUGCGUAGAUAUCAGGAGGAACACCUGUGGCGAAAGCGGCUCACUGGACCAUAACUGACGCUGAUGCACGAAAGCUAGGGGAGCAAACAGG